UAAUCUGAGUCCCAUGCGCGACGUUACGC
rnacentral:sRNA from 1 species